rnacentral:rRNA from 1 species
UCAAGCCUACGGGGCGCAGCAGUGAGGAAUAUUGGUCAAUGGGAGAGAUCCUGAACCAGCCAAGCCGCGUGAGGGAAGACGGCCCUAUGGGUUGUAAACCUCUUUUGUCGGAGAACAAAACCCGGGACGAGUCCCGGACUGCGUGUAUCCGAAGAAAAAGCAUCGGCUAACUCCGUGCCAGCAGCCGCGGUAAUACGGAGGAUGCGAGCGUUAUCCGGAUUUAUUGGGUUUAAAGGGUGCGUAGGCAGAUUAUUAAGUCAGUUGUGAAAGUUUGCGGCUCAACCGUAAAAUUGCAGUUGAUACUG